rnacentral:rRNA from 1 species
AUGCUUCUCCUUCUGUGCUCUUUUCCCAAGGAUAGCCUGAUGGACAAAGACAUGUUAAUCCAGCUAUGGAUGGCUAAUGAUUUUAUUGCAUCAGAAACAAGAGGCCAACACAUUUUCGAUGUGCUAGUUUGGAGAUGUUUCCUCCAGGAUGUCCAAAUUAAAGAGGGUGUCUUCAUCUACCAACCAACUACUUGCAGAAUGCAUGAUCUCAUGCAUGAUCUUGCUGGCUCCGUAGGCAAAAAUGAUUGCUCCAAUCUACAAGAAUCUUCAUCACGUCAGGAAAUUUGCAAGGAUCCACAUACACCAGUUCAUUACAGCAUGCAUGAGGUUCACCAUUUGUCACUUGAUAAUGUGAGUAACAAUACUAUUGGAGCCAUGAAGGAAAUUCUAGAUCCCCGAGCCCGCACAAUAUUAGUUUUGAAAAAUGAAUUUGGGAUUGAGAUUCCUGUGAGUAUGGCUAAGUCAAAAUUCAUGUCCUUGCGAGCAUUGAAGACGUUCUCAAUCAGUACACACAUGACAAACUUGAAGCAUCUUCGCUAUCUGGAUUGUUCUGGUUCUAGUAUAUCUGCAUUGCCUGAAGGCAUUAUCAUGUUGUAUAGCUUGCAAACAUUGAAGCUCAUUGGUUGUAGUGAACUUAGGAAAUUACCCGAAGGCAUGAGGUAUAUGAGCAGUCUUCGUCACAUCUUCCUUGUGGCGUGUCGUCGUUUGGAGCGCAUGCCACAAGGUGUUAGUCAAUUGAAUUCUCUAAAGACAUUGACGAAUUAUGUCAUUGAUAGUGAUGCCGGCCGUGGAAUUGAUCAACUGAGAGAUUUGAAUCUAGGUGGUAGUCUUUCUUUGACAGAGCUGAGAAAAGUGCAUAGUGCAGAAAAUGCUAAACAAGGCAAUUUGUCCGCCAAGCAUAAUUUGAAACGAUUGUUGCUCAAUUGGCAUGGACCUGAUAGCACAAAUGAUAGAGAUGAGGUGGAUAAUAAUGCAGAAGGAAUCUUAGAGGCCCUUCGUCCUCAUAAAAGUCUUGAAGCUUUACUGUUAUAUGAUUAUACCGGGGUGAAAUUCUCGUCAUGGAUGCACAACUAUACACUGUUAGAACAUCUCAGCGAACUUUCUUUAGUUAGAUGCAAGAACUGCAAGGAUCUUCCACCAUUAUGGCAGUUGCCCUCCCUCAUGCUCUUGCGUUUGUGUGAUUUGUAUAGUUUGACAAGUAUGUGUGUUGGUAAUGAUGACACAGACAAUGGGGAAUCCUACAUUUCUCCACCACCCUUCUUUCCUAAGUUGGAAACCAUGAUUCUUCAGAAGAUACCUAAGCUAGAGAGAUGGCACCAGGAGGUGGCAGGACAAGUAGGGGUUGUAUCAUUCCCUCAGCUCAAGACGCUAUGGAUUGUUGAGUGCCCAAGGUUAGAGACACUGCCGGAGGGACUCCUGCAGAAGUUCCCAGCCCUCGAGAAACUAUCCAUCAGCGAAUGCCGCAACUUGAAGGAGGCCUUCUCAAGAGGAGGCGCUUACUGGGAUUUCGUUGAAGCAAUUCCAAAAAGAUUUAUUGAUUGA